CUUCCCGUAGCCAUUUUGCAAGUGCUGACUGUUGGGUGCCUGUUCUGGUUAGUCCCUGUCCUGCUUUUCCACAUGCCUCUCCUUCCACCUCUGCAGCUCACAAAAAGCCUCACCAGAGACAUGAACUCUCAUUUGCUUCCUUGGAGUGGGAUCCCAACCAGGGCAUUGUACAGCUAAUGGGACAUCUCUUCAAGUAGUGUCAUUAUUCCUGUCGUCAGCGGGGCUGCAUGACAAUCCACAGAAGACUCUGAGAACAGUCACCUGGUGUCCCCUGAUGUCGAUGGCGGAGGAUUUGUCCGUGACCCACAAACUUUCACUGUCACAAACGGAGUAUUCCCCCCGGUGGCCCCUGUGCUCUGCAUACCUCUUCCGCCGGGAGGUUCUGUUCACCACCACGGAAUUCCCGAUGUAAUCCUCCAUGAGGUACAGGGGCGGCGGCUCCAGCGGCGUGUUGUCACUCAGAAGGACUCGGGGAGAAUUGUAGCGUCUCUGCUGCCUCAAGAGAUCUAAAACUUGUUUUUUAAAAUGUCUGCCUGAAUGAGUUUAAUAAUAAGAGAAUUUAUCGAAUCUUCUGGCAAACUCCUUUGAUCCAUGUUGGAAGACUGGAUGCCACGAAGGAAAGCCUUGAAUUUGAUUUUCCUGCUCUGCAAACACAUCUGCCAUGUGUCAGAGACCUCUGGGAUGAAGGCACAGAGUCACAGACCGUGGGACAGAUGGAGUUGGGAGGAUCCUCAGGACAUUAUGUAGGCCAAUCUCACUGCUCACAGGAGUAUCAGGGCAGCUUGCAGAGAGCUCUGCCUACUCAGAUCUGGAACAUCUACAUGGAUGGAGACUCCACAGCCUCUAGACAAGCCAUUCCAGUGUUCAACACCCUUAAACUUCGCAAAAAUAUAUUUCAUGUAUCAGCAGUGUUUCCUAUAUUUCAGUUUUUUCCCAUUGCCUUCUGUCCUAUCAUGGACACACCUGAGUAGAGCCUGGCUCCAUCUUUAUUAAUCCCUUCUGUGAGAUAUCUCUGCACUUCAAUAAAAUCCCCCUGGAACUUCUCUUCUGCAGCAUGAACAGCCCCAGCUCUAUCAGCCUCUCGAGGUACAGUUGUCCUAAUCCUUAAUAAUUUUCAUGGAUUUACUUCUGUGCUAAGGAGCCCAGAACUGGACACAGCACUCCAGAUGUGCAUCACCAGUGCUGAGAUAAGGGGAAGGAUCCCCUCCCUCCUGAACAGAAAAUUUUCCACUUAAAAAAAAAAUCACCAUUUUCUGCUUAGGGGGUGAACCAUUUUCUGUUUCAGAAGGCAAAGGAAAAAAAGAAGAAAAAAAUCUUUAGCUGAAGAACGUUCUAUCCACUCUAAACAAAACUCCUUUUUGCAAGAUUGAGUCCCCACUUUGCAGUUUGGAACAGCAGCAGUAUCUGAGCUACCCUCUGUGGAUGUGUGAGCUGUCCUUUUAUGGACAAGAAAUGUGUUUUCUCCAUUCUCAGUUUGUCACAGUGUGAGUUCACCUAAAUCUAGACUGUUGCCUGCAGUAAUGUUUUGCUUUUGAGGGGGGGAAAUAUUGAAGAUGUUCAGUUACCAUACAAUUACUGUCAUACCCGAAUAAAUACUAACUUAAUGUAGAUGGAUCUCAGUGCCCAGACCUUUCUGUCUGUGCAGCUGCUGUGCAAUUUCACCUUCCCUCAGCACAGGAUUUUCUUUUAAAAACAGUAAAAAUAUUAUUAAACAGAUGUCCUUGAGCAGAUUUCUUGCAGCGCCCAGAAUCCACACAUGAGAUGACACACAAGCCCACAGGAUGGUGAGCAAAGCUGUGAUAUGGCUCAGCUCAAAAGCCAGAAGCACUAUUCAUGCCAACAUGCAGCUGCAUGCAAUCCCUGCUCUGCUCAGUCUCAAAAUUAAGUGGCACUAGCAAAACACACAAGUUGGAGUGUGAUGAGGUGGGAAAAGUAAGGCUGGAGUUCCUGCAGGCUCUCCUCAAUGUCAUGCUGCACACAGAAAGGAAGGGCUGGGGACCUGAGAGCUGGAGAAGCUAAAAUGUGCUGUUUUUCUUCUCUGUGGAGGAACCCCAUUAAUGGAAAAAUGUUGAAAAGUGUUUUCCUGAACUUCAUGUGAAACGUCUUACAGAUUUGGUGGGAAAGAUGCUAACUUUGAAAUUCAACCUGUAGUUUGAUUUAUUUUGCAGAUUAUUUGCUGCAAAAGUAAAAAGGUUUUAGAACAAAUAUUUAUAUUUUUCUGGGUGCAAAACUUUGGCAAAACCACAAAGAUUGGUGAGUUAAUAGUUUUCAGGGAGUUCCUCCAACCUAGGAGGUUCAUAAAGUGCUGUUCAGAAGUUGCAGUCCAUGACUAAAAAUUGUCAGGCUGUCGAUGAAGUCCAGCACCUCAGAGUAUGUCUAAAGCACUAUUUUAGAUAGGAGAAAUGAGUGUUAUUGGAAAACUCCAGCUGGUUUAUGGCCUUGUCUGUAAUGUGGUUAUAAGACACAUUAAAAGUAUAUUUGUUUGCAGGUCUGGGGAGUAUUGCAUUUGAUGAAUGUCUCUUUGCCCAAAAUGGAAUGUUGUGCCUGUCUGAACUGCAGAUAAUGUGAGAUUUAUUUGGCAUGUGUGUGUUAAAUCUGUAAAAAGGAGAGGAAAAUGUAAAACAUUAAAAUGUCUAUCUUUUCAUAUUUUCAAAGCAAAUAAUUCUGGUGUUUCUAGCCAUGCCUCCAGAAGUUCUACAAUGCAAAUCACAAAGCAGAACAAAUGCUUUCUCAGUGCAGACCAGUGAGUAAAUUAUCUAUAGAGAGGACUCAGAUUGGGGGCAUGAUUUCAGCAUAUGUGUCCUGUCUGAGGGAAUACUGACUCAAAUACCAGGUUCCUGGAGGGCCCAGGAUUCUGUGAACCUCAGCAGAAGCUACUUCAGCACAAGCAGCUCUUUCUCUGGCCUUUUGGAGAAUGGUCUAAAAAUCUCACAAGAAUUAAAUCCUUCAUGUGACCUUUUCUGGUCUUUCACUGGGAUUUUUUUGUUUUGUUUUGUUUUGUUUUGUUUUUCAAUUCAGAUUGUUCAUUACAAGUGGAAAGAUUUUUCCCAAGUGAAAUUAUUUUCCUUGGUUAGGUGAUGCUAGUGAGAUAUUUUUGUUGUUCUUCAUGGUUCUUCUUGGAAUUUUCCACAUGUGAAUUCCUGACAAAAGUUCAUUUUGGCUGUGUUUGUGGCUGGUUUGCACUAAGCAAAUUGGACUUGGAGACUGCUGACAUUUGUGGCUCAGAGAGGAAAAGCAAAGAACACAGACAACAAAAGUUCAUGCAUUUCAAAUCUGAUUAUCUCCCAAAUGUGGCUUUACUCUAUUUUUUUGGUUUGUAUUCCUGCCUAUCGCUGCAGUUUUAGCAGGCUAUUAAUUCUGUCUGAGCUAGGUGGCUCAAGGUCUACAUUUAAGAAGUUAAUAAACUUACCUCUUCCUUCCAUUGAUAAAUUCAAUCCCUAAUAAACUCUGGCAAACCAUUUGCCUCCCUUUCCAGACUCACCACUUUAUGUAGUAGUGAAAAAUUGUGUUUAGUUUUGUUUGUGGUGAUUUAUUCUGGUCAGUUUCUGAACAUUGCACACAGGGGAAGAGUGAAACAUCAUUUAAAAUGUUCUGCAGAAAGCAUGAAAGCCUAGUACUGUGAGAGACUGCCCAAGUAUUUACUUGUAAGCCAUUGCUAAGAGAAAGUGGAAUAGAAGGAAAAGUGACUGGUGAUUUUUACAUUUAGAAUUGUAAUACCCCACGUUUUAUGUAAGCCAGCUUGAAGUGUUUGUCACUUCCUUAAAAAUUUAGGAGCAGCUUCAGUUCUUCAGACCAAGCAACUAAUAAUCCUUUGUGGUGGCUGACAGCUUUUCCAAGCUUUUACUAAAGAGGAAAGCAUGAUUAUUGUCACUGUUUGCUGAACACUGCUUCCACAACCUCCCAAGUCAUGGACUGCCCUGUUGAUUUCCCUCUUCCUAAUAACUAUGUUGGGAAGAAAUUCAGCCCUCUUCCUCUGUGCUUUGGGGGACAUGGGGAAGAUACAGAACAAGAAAAGAAUUCUGAAUGUUCAAGAAAGUGGGAAUGUGACAUAACUGUCUGAAAAUUUGCACUGUAUUUCAGAAUAGUAAUCAACAGUUUGUACAAGAUGGAUUUAUGAAGAUAGGUUGCUGGAGAGUGCUAAAUGUCCCAGCAGACGCCCUCCUGAAUGCUUUUACUUCUCAGGAUAUGGAAAUUUCAACAGAGACAGAUUGAAACUAAAGCUUUCACAAGAGCCAGGCCCUUUGAGAAGCUGAAGAAUUCAGAGACAAAACCAAGUGAUGCCAGCCCAAAGUGUUAACCCUACCAUCCCGAGGGACAACCAAACUGGAAGUUGGAGUGAGGGGAUUGGAAACUAAUCCAUUCCGCUGGCACACUGGCAGUGGAGUGCAGCUACAGAUCUGAGGGGGAGCCCACCAAGGUUUCUUCAUCUCUGCAGCAGCUCACAGAUGUAUUAAUUAAUUUACUUAAGGCCAUUUAUAAAAGAGAAGACACAUCUGAGCACUGAGCCCCAGUAACCUCCAGUGAAAGGUGUAUACUUAAUUUCUUAUGGAAAUGGA